AGGUACCGUCAAACGCGCAGAUUAUUCACCUACGCGCAUUCUUCCCUCUCGACAGAAGUUUACGACCCGAAGGCCUUCAUCCUUCACGCGGCGUUGCUGGGUCAGGCUUUCGCCCAUUGCCCAAUAUUCCCGA
rnacentral:rRNA from 1 species